rnacentral:sRNA from 1 species
AUGCCAAAACACAAAACAGAAUAUUGCGCCAUCUAAGGCAAAUAAAUGUCAUCUCUUCAGUUUAAUUCUAAACAUCGUGCAGCAAAUGACGGACAAAAAGAUAACUUUGCAUAAUAUCAAGGCAAGUUCUUUACUUAAUUUAUAUAAAUCUCUUUUGUUGUUUGUUAUAUGUGUACUAAUUUCAGAGUUGACGAAAACAGCGAUAUAAUUAAACAUUGCAGUAAUAUGUCAUUACUUCAGAAUUAUGAAGGGUUGUUGAAGACCCUGAAUAUUUGGCUCACCCUAUGUAAAAUGGAAAGGAAGAUGCAAAGUGCUAAGCAGACCUCUGGAACGUCUUGACAGGCCUGAAAAUAGACCGUCUAAGGACAUGAACUCUGAUGCUGGGUAUAUAAAAUAGAGUCAGCCGAACGAAGCAACACGAAGUUGUUUUCACUGUUCUAUAGAGACAAAGAAGGAUAUCUGGUAACAGAUGCAGAUAGUGUGCUUAUGAUAUGUAAAUAACAUUUUCCCAGCUGCUAAUAACCGAUGGUGGUGACAGAAUUAAUCCCAGAUGAUCGUAUAGAAUGUAGUCGUAUACCACCUAGUCAGAAUGAAGUCCAAGUGGCUGUGACCCGACCGAACUAUUUCAGACAGGUGGCCGGGGGUGACACAUUAAUAAAGCUUUCGCAUUUGCUCAUCUACGCAUACCCUAUUAGUGGAACCUCUGCAUACUAUGUCCCGUACACAAGAAAGGGGACAAGAGACCAUUAGUGGAAUUCUGUUAGCUGUUUCAACGAAAAUCGUUCCCUAAAUAAUUGUGUACAUUUUAUUGAUGAUUUUAAUGUUUUUUAAUUAAAAUAAAAAAACUCCUGGCUAUGAGAAAAAUUA